AGAAUGCCGGAAUGAGUAGCGAGAGGAAGGUGAGAAUCCUUCCGGCCGAAUAUCUAAGGUUUCCAGAGUAAAGCUGAUCUGCUCUGGGUAAGUCGGGGCCUAAGGCCAGGUCGAAAGACGUAACCGAUGGACAACAGGUUGAAAUUCCUGUACCUUAAGUAAACAGAACUGUGGGGACACGUGUGGAGAGCACAAGCCGGAAAUGGAAAAGCCGGUGCAAGCGAGGUAGGAGAUGAAUAGGCAAAUCCGUUCAUCAAUCCGAAGACGUGAUGCGGACCGAAUUAAGAGUAGGGAAGUGUGUGAGCCAUGCGUCAAGAAAAGCCGCUAUUGUUUUACUUAAGCCCGUACCGUAAACCGACACAGGUGGAUGAGGAGAGAAUCCUAAGGCCGACGGGAGAAGCAUUGUUAAGGAACUCGGCAAAAUGACUCCGUAACUUCGGGAGAAGGAGUGCCAGCGAGAGCUGGCCGCAGAGAAUUGGCCCAAGCAACUGUUUAGCAAAAACACAGGUCUAUGCAAAACCGUAAGGUGAAGUAUAUGGGCUGACGCCUGCCCGGUGCUGGAAGGUUAAGAGGAGAGGUUAGCGCAAGCGAAGCUUUGAAUUUAAGCCCCAGUAAACGGCGGCCGUAACUAUAACGGUCCUAAGGUAGCGAAAUUCCUUGUCGGGUAAGUUCCGACCCGCACGAAAGGCGUAAUGAUUUGAGCACUGUCUCGACAAUACAUCCGGUGAAAUUGAAGUACCAGUGAAGAUGCUGGUUACCCGCGCCAGGACGGAAAGACCCCAUGGAGCUUUACUCCAGUUUGGUACUGGGAUUCGGUACUGCAUGUACAGGAUAGGUGGGAGACGAAGAAGUUAGGACGCCAGUCUUAACAGAGUCGCUGUUGGGAUACCACCCUUGCAGUAUUGGGUUUCUAACCAGCCGCUGUGAACCAGCGGUGGGACAAUGCCAGGCGGGGAGUUUGACUGGGGCGGUCGCCUCCGAAAGGGUAUCGGAGGCGCUCAAAGGUUCCCUCAGAAUGGUCGGAAACCAUUUAAAGAGUGCAAAGGCAGAAGGGAGCUUGACUGCGACACCGACGGGUGGAGCAGGUACGAAAGUAGGACUUAGUGAUCCGGUGGCAUAAAGUGGGAUUGCCAUCGCUCAACGGAUAAAAGCUACCCUGGGGAUAACAGGCUUAUCACUCCCAAGAGUUCACAUCGACGGAGUGGUUUGGCACCUCGAUGUCGGCUCAUCGCAUCCUGGGGCUGUAGCAGGUCCCAAGGGUUGGGCUGUUCGCCCAUUAAAGCGGUACGCGAGCUGGGUUCAGAACGUCGUGAGACAGUUCGGUCCCUAUCCGGCGCGGGCGUAGGAUAUCUGAGGGGAGCUGGCCUUAGUACGAGAGGACCGGGCUGGACGGACCACUGGUGCAUCAGCUGGAUACCAAAUCCAUAGCUGGGUAGCCAAGUCCGGAAGGGAUAAACGCUGAAGGCAUCUAAGCGUGAAGCCCCCCCCAAGAUGAGAUGUCCCUGUCUAUAAGACAGUAAGACCCCUGAAAGAGUAUCAGGUAGAUAGGGCAGAGGUGGAAGCACGGUAACGUGUGGAGCUGACUGUUACUAAUCGGUCGAGGGCUUGACCA
rnacentral:rRNA from 1 species